rnacentral:rRNA from 1 species
UGAGGAAUAUUGGUCAAUGGACGCAAGUCUGAACCAGCCAAGUAGCGUGCAGGAUGACGGCCCUAUGGGUUGUAAACUGCUUUUAUAUGGGGAUAAAGUGGGGAACGUGUUCCCUUUUGCAGGUACCAUAUGAAUAAGGACCGGCUAAUUCCGUGCCAGCAGCCGCGGUAAUACGGAAGGUUCGGGCGUUAUCCGGAUUUAUUGGGUUUAAAGGGAGCGUAGGCCGUUUGGUAAGCGUGUUGUGAAAUGUAGGAGCUCAACUUCUAGAUUGCGGCGCAACUGGUCAGACUAGAUUGCGAACAAGGUAGGCGGAAUUCAGGUUGUAGCGGGGAAAUGCUAGAUAUCAUGAAGAACUCCGAUUGCGAAGGCAGCUUACGGGAGCGCAACUGACGCUGAAGCUCGAAGGUGCGGGUAUCGAACAGG